rnacentral:rRNA from 1 species
UGGGGAGUAUUGCACAAUGGGGAAGACCCUGAUGCAGCAACGCCGCGUGAAGGAAGAAGGUCUUCGGAUUGUAAACUGCUGUCCUCAGGGAAGAUAAUGGCGGUACCUGAGGAGGAAGCUCCGGCUAACUACGUGCCAGCAGCCGCGGUAAUACGUAGGGAGCGAGCGUUGUCCGGAUUUACUGGGUGUAAAGGGUGCGUAGGCGGAUCUGCAAGUCAGUAGUGAAAUCCCAGGGCUUAACCCUGGAACUGCUAUUGAAACUGUGGGUCUUGAGUGAGGUAGAGGCAGGCGGAAUUCCCGGUGUAGCGGUGAAAUGCGUAGAGAUCGGGAGGAACACCAGUGGCGAAGGCGGCCUGCUGGGCCUUAACUGACGCUGAGGCACGAAAGCAUGGGUAGCAAACAGGAUUAGAUACCC